GAGUAAGGUCAGAGAACUCUUCUUGUGC
rnacentral:piRNA from 1 species